rnacentral:rRNA from 1 species
UACGGAGGGAGCGAACGUUGUUCGGAUUUACUGGGCGUAAAGGGUGUGUAGGCGGUCUUGCAAGUCAGGGGUGAAAUCUCUCGGCUCAACCGAGAAACUGCCUUUGAGACUGCAGGACUUGAGGGCGUGAGAGGAGACUGGAAUUCCUAGUGUAGCGGUGAAAUGCAUAGAUAUUAGGAGGAACACCAGUGGCGAAGGCGGGUUGCUGGGCUGAUACUGACGCUGAGGCGCGAAAGCCAGGGGAGCGAACGGG